GGAAACCCGAGUUGGAAACAGUCAGCUGGGGAGGAGAGGGAGCAACUUAUUUGCUGAAUCUUUCCUGCUUUGUUUCUGCCUUUGGUCAAAGUCUUACCCUCAGGACAUCCAUAUCCCAGAAGGUUUUUUUGUUUGUUUGUUUAACCUGGCCAAUUCUCUAGGAAGCAUCCAGGGAAACCCAAGCUUUAUUGGCCAUAAGCCAGACACUGUGUAGGCAUAGGGGUCUCUUUCUGUCAGUUGGCACCAAGCAAAGGGUGCUUCAGUCUGCAGUGUUGGUAUCAGCAGUGGCUAUCAGAACUCUACAACUCUCGGAAUAGCUUCUGCUACAGCUGAUCUGGCCAAGAAACCAGGCAAGUGGCCAAGGCCUGAAGAGGCAUGGCUGAAUUGAUCUAGAGUGGCAGAGCAAGUCACCUUGGAAGAUAACUUUUUUGUUCAGAGAAGAAUCACUGGAAUGGUCCUUUUAAGAUCUGUGGGAAAAUCCUUAGGAAUUUCUACAUAAACUAUUGAUGGCAGUGGUGGCCCAUCUGGAGUGGCCACUGUGAAGAUGCCAGCUGCAAUAGGGAGGGCAUGACUGGGGCUGCACAUUCCAUGGAGCCAGCGGGAGCCAGGAACAGUCCUGCCCACGGCUGCCCACGGACCAAUCAGCACGCAGUUCCUCCCUUCUGAGACCAUAAAAAUCCCAGACACAGUCAGACUCACAGAGAUAACUGACUACCAGCUGUGAGAGGGAGCUACCCAAUUUGAGUCUCCUUAACCCAUCCGACCACGUGUUUGCAGAAAAAAGAGCUCUACCCACUCCGAGUCUCCUGUUUGCUGAGGGCUGCACUCCUCACGACAACCUGCCUGCAGAAAGGAGCUCUACCCACUCCGGGUCUCCUCUCUGCUGAGAGCUGGACACUCAUUGGGACGACCUGCCUACAGAUAGGUGUCGAAUUUGGGCCCAUAACACAAGCCAAGUGCAGCCUGCCAGGCCAAGUAGAUGGAACAAGCCCAGCAGGCCUGAGCAAAACUCGGACAAAGAUGCCAACGGCCACAGAGGUUUCUGGCUAGAAAAGCAACACCUUAAGGAUCCCAAGACUAUCAUGUUAUCUGCCAAUAAAGACAGUUUUCCUUCUUUUCA
rnacentral:lncRNA from 10 species